GUGCAUCCAGAUGCCAGGCUUUGAGCCACUAGGAGUAAGCACUGCACUGUGGACACUCCGCUGAGCUGGGGGUUAGGGUUAGGGGAGUGUGUGUGUGUGUGUGUGUGUGUGUGUGUGUGCGUGCACAUGCACACCAGGUGUAGGGAGUUCUUUUCUUAUUAACUGAUAGAGCAGGACCCUUUAAAUGGAAAUAUCCAGUGCCAAAACCAGUAUCCAUCAGGCACACAAUGACACCAUUACACCCAGCUUAAAUUUGGGAAUUUGCUAGGUUUGGAAAAGUUAAAUUGUAUGCAAUUGAACAAGCCUCUUACCUUCAAGAAAUCUGCACCUUGUGAAGAAAUACACAUAACUGACCAGAGAUCAUGGGCUAUAAUAGAGGCAAAAUAUUUCACAGGAAGGGGAAGGCAUCCCAGAAAAAGGAAUACCUGAGAAUUAGAAGGAUUUCAGAAGGUGGAGAGAAUAACAAAGAUUUGGAGAUCUAAAAGUGCAGGCACAGGGGAUUUGAGGAGGGUAAGUGUACAAAUUGUGUGUGUGUGUGUGUGUGUGUGUUAGGAUGAGAGGAAGAAAUAUAUGGGUGUGGCUUGUUUUAUCU